ensembl:snoRNA Gm26349 predicted gene, 26349
CCUGUUUCUAGAAGUAUUACAAGUGUGUCUGCUGUGUCACAUAUGCAUCAGUAGGUGGCACAGUAGAAAGAGGUUGUGUCUACACUCUGAUAUUACCCAUGAGAAUCUGAAUGACUAGUAGCCUAACAUU